rnacentral:rRNA from 1 species
AUGAGAAGUGUUUGGAUGGACAAGCUCCUCCUUGCUCUCGCUGUCACCGGUGCCCUCUUCAUGUCCAAUGGGGUUGGCGUCGCCGCCACACCACAAACGACAUGCAAGGCAGCGGCCAACAUUGACAAGCGCGUCAACUAUGAUUUCUGUGUGUCGCAGCUGCUAGAUCACCACGAGAGCAGCGAGGCCGACACAUGGGGCCUCGCCAAGAUCGCCGCCUUGAUGGGAGCCAACAACGCCGCUCAUGCCAAGGCCGACAUCGACGCCUUGCUAGCAAAGCCGGGCACCGGAGACCAGAUGAAGCGUUUGCUAGGGCAGUGCAAGGGCUUGUAUGAUCGCACGUUCAUGACGUUCGUCUACGCGCAUGAGGAGCUUAAGAAGCGCAGAUACGCCUCGGGCAAAGAGAAGGCGGCGGAGACUGUGGCGCUGGUGCACCAGUGUGAUGAGGCCUUCGUGGAAGCUCGAGUCCGCUCGCCGCUCACCAAGCAAAGUGCGGACUCCGUGCAGCUGGCCAUCAUCUGCACGGCCAUCACCAACCUCAUCAAGUGA